GCCAGGUGCAGUGGCGUAUACCUGUAAUCCCAGUGGCUCGGGAGGCCGAGACAGAAGGACUUCAAGUUCAAAGACAGCCUCAGCAAUGGUGAGGCACUAAGCAACUCAAUGAGACCCUGUCUCUA
rnacentral:sRNA from 1 species